UUUUUUUUCUUUUUUUUUUUUUUUUUUUUUUUUUUUUUUUUUGAGACAGUGACUUGCUCUGUCACCCAGGCUGGAGUGCAAUGGCAUGAUCUCAGCUCAUUGCAACCUGUGUCUCCCAGUUCUCCUCUCUCAGCCUCCUGAGUAUCUGGGAUUAUAGGCGCAUGCCACCAUGCCUGGCUAAUUUUUUGUAUUUUAAUAGAGACGGGUUUUCACUGUGUUGCCUAGCCUGGUCUUGAACCCCUGAGCUCAGGCAAUCCACCUGCCUCAGCAUCACAAAGUGCUGGGAUUACAGGCAAGAGCCUCUGCGCCCAGCCACCAUGUUUUUUUUUCACCUCAACACCUUUGCUUAAGCUCUUUCUUCAAUGCAGAAUGUACUUCACUUACCCGCGCUUGUCUCAUUUUACGUUAAGAUUUGGCCUAGACAUCCUGUCAGAAAGACUUAUUUUCUCAUUCUUCAAUGCACCCAUCCAAUUUUAUACUCUCUGUCAUUGUAUUAGAAUUUUGGGAGAACACCUGGAAAACAAAAGUGAUGUUCCCAGUACCUACAACAGAACAUGGCGUAUAGAGGUGUUCAAGAAAUAUUAAACUUUUUACAAGGAUUAAAGAUACCUUGAACUAGCUGAGAAAGAAGAUAGCAACUUGGAGCCAAGCAAUACCAGCCAUGGUAAGGAGUUACAUCCCAUCACUCUUAUCACCCUGACUGUAAUAAGGAAUGAGAGUACAGUAGAUAGGAAAGAGAGGUAAGAGGAGCAUAUUGUAAGUCCUGGUCUGCUUUUUUUCAAAUGGACCCUGUGUUGUUGCAGAACCCAUGGUGCCACCCACUCAGACGACUUCCUGGAUGGCUCUGUGCGUGCUUAAGAACUGGUCUACAUUUUUUUGGUCCUUCCCCAUUCUUAUUCCACAUAGUAGGUACUGCACUGUAACUUGUGCUUUUGUGGGAGAAAUUCCAGGUAUCUUAGAACACAGAACCAUAUAAAAGAGCAGUAACUGCUCAUUUUGAGAGUGAUUGCAUUUAUU
rnacentral:lncRNA from 1 species